rnacentral:rRNA from 1 species
CAGCCGCCGCGGGAAUACGUAGGGUGCAAGCGUUAAUCGGAAUUACUGGGCGUAAAGCGUGCGCAGGCGGUUAUAUAAGACAGAUGUGAAAUCCCCGGGCUCAACCUGGGAACUGCAUUUGUGACUGUAUAGCUAGAGUACGGCAGAGGGGGAUGGAAUUCCGCGUGUAGCAGUGAAAUGCGUAGAUAUGCGGAGGAACACCGAUGGCGAAGGCAAUCCCCUGGGCCUGUACUGACGCUCAUGCACGAAAGCGUGGGGAGCAAACAGGAUUAGAGACCCCCGUAGUCCCUGUCUCUUAUCC